GAAACAUCUAAGUAGCUCGAGGAAAAGAAAUCAACCGAGAUUCCGUAAGUAGUGGCGAGCGAACACGGAAGAGCCUGCACGACUAAACCAUCAGCUUAGCAAAACGGUCUGGAAAGUCCGACGAUACAGGGUGAUAGUCCCGUAUGCGAAAAGCCGGUGGCGGGUCUGAGCGUGCGACAAGUAGGGCGGGACACGAGAAAUCCUGUCUGAAGAUGGGGGGACCAUCCUCCAAGGCUAAAUACUCGUGAUCGACCGAUAGUGAACCAGUACCGUGAGGGAAAGGCGAAAAGACCCCGGGAGGGGAGUGAAAUAGAUCCUGAAACCGCAUGCAUACAAACAGUGGGAGCCUCGAAAGGGGUGACUGCGUACCUUUUGUAUAAUGGGUCAGCGACUUACGUUCAGUUGCGAGCUUAACCGAUAGGGGAGGCGUAGCGAAAGCGAGUCUGAUAAGGGCGUCAGAGUAGCUGGGCGUAGACCCGAAACCGG
rnacentral:rRNA from 1 species